rnacentral:rRNA from 1 species
UACGUAGGGGGGCAAGCGUUGUCCGGAAUCAUUGGGCGUAAAGAGCGUGUAGGCGGCUUGGUAAGUCCGCUGUGAAAGUCCAGGGCUCAACCCUGGAAUGCCGGUGGAAACUGUCAAGCUUGAGUCCGGAAGAGGCGAGUGGAAUUCCUGGUGUAGAGGUGAAAUUCGUAGAUAUCGGGAGGAACACCAGUGGCGAAGGCGGCGACCUGGACGGACACUGACGCUGAGACGCGAAAGCGUGGGGAGCAAACAGG